UUACGGUCAAAUCACAUCAAAAACACUAGUUAUCAUUUGAUCACAGAAGUUAAGCAGUGCUGAGCCCAGUCAGUAAGUACUUAGAUGGGCGACCACUUGGGAACACUAGGUAGUGU